rnacentral:rRNA from 1 species
UACGUAGGGAGCAAGCGUUGUCCGGAAUCAUUGGGCGUAAAGCGCGUGUAGGUGGCCCGGUAAGUCCGCUCUGAAAGUCAAAGGCUCAACCUUUGAAAGCGGGUGGAUACUGCCAGGCUAGAGUCCGGAAGAGGCGAGUGGAAUUCCUGGUGUAGCGAUGGAAUGCGCAGAUAUCAGGAGGAACACCAACGGCGAAGGCAGCUCGCUGGGACGGUACUGACACUGAGGCGCGAAAGCGUGGGGAGCGAAUAGG